CGACGGGCCCCGCACAAGCAGCGGAGCGUGUGGUUUAAUUCGAUGCUACACGAAGAACCUUACCAGGGUUUGACAUGCAAGUGGUAGGAACCGAAAGGCGACCGACCCUUCGGGGAGCUUGCACAGGUGCUGCAUGGCUGUCGUCAGCUCGUGUCGUGAGAUGUUCGGUUAAGUCCGCUAACGAGCGCAACCCUCGCUGUGUGUUACAAGUGUCACACGGUACUGCCGGUCUUAAGCCGGAGGAAGGUGGGAUGACGUCAAGUCAGCAUGGCCUUUAUGUCCUGGGCUACACACACGCUACAAUGGCCAACACAAUAGGUUGCUAAGCCGCGAGGUGGAGCCAAUCCUCAAAGUUGGUCUCAGUUCAGAUUGCAGGCUGCAACCCGCCUGCAUGAAGUCGGAAUCGCUAGUAAUCGUGGAUCAGAAUGUCACGGUGAAUACGUUCCCGGGUCUU
rnacentral:rRNA from 1 species